rnacentral:rRNA from 1 species
UACGAAGGGGGCUAGCGUUGUUCGGAUUUACUGGGCGUAAAGCGCACGUAGGCGGUUUGUUAAGUCAGGGGUGAAAUCCCACAGCUCAACUGUGGAACUGCCUUUGAUACUGGCAAGCUAGAGUCCGGAAGAGGUAAGUGGAACUCCUAGUGUAGAGGUGGAAUUCGUAGAUAUUAGGAAGAACACCAGUGGCGAAGGCGGCUCACUGGCCCGGUACUGACGCUGAGGUACGAAAGCGUGGGGAGCAAACAGG